UCCUCCCCCCAACCCCCCGUUGGCGCAGAUCCAGCCGGAUCUCCGGGAGCUCAUGGAGACCAUGAACCGCAUGAGCCACCUGCCCCCCGACUUCGAGGGCAGGCAGAAGGUCAACCAGUGGCUGCAGACGCUCAGCGGGAUGUCGGCCUCGGACGAGCUGGACGAUUCCCAGGUCCGGCAGAUGCUCUUCGACCUGGAGUCCGCCUACAACGCCUUCAACCGCUUCCUGCACUCCUGAGACCCUCCCAUCCCUCCCAGUCCAAACCAGUCCCUCCCAUCCCUCCCAGUCCCUCCCAGUCCCUGCUGGUGCGGGAGGAAAGCCGGGACAAUAAACGGGGGGCGGCGGAUCCCGAAAAAUCA